UACGGGGGGGGCAAGCGUUGUUCGGAAUUACUGGGCGUAAAGGGCUCGUAGGCGGCCUACUAAGUCAGACGUGAAAUCCCCAGGCUCAACCUGGGAACUGCGUCUGAUACUGGAUGGCUUGAAUCCGGGAGAGGGAUGCAGAAUUCCAGGUGUAGCGGUGAAAUGCGUAGAUAUCUGGAGGAAUACCGGUGGCGAAGGCGGCAUCCUGGACCGGCAUUGACGCUGAGGAGCGAAAGCUAGGGGAGCAAACGGG
rnacentral:rRNA from 1 species